UUCUUUUUCACAUUAUUUUCCAUUGUGGUUUAUCACAGGUUAUUGAUAUAGUUCCCUGUGCUAUACAGUAGGAUCUUGUUAUUUUUCUAAGAAGCUAAAGUAUAUCAGAAAAAAGAAAAAUAGCACCCAGUAGAAAAGUGAGUAAAAGAAUUACGCACUUCAUAAGAGGGGAAAUUGUCCAAUAACCAUGGAAAGGUGCUUAAUCCCAUUAUGUAAAUCCAAUUAUGAAAUAAAUUUGUAAUUGAUGAUAAGGUGUUAGCUAUGCUGCCUUCUCUUUGGAGUGUGGGUGACACUUGAUCUUGGGCCAAAAGCUAUCCUUUGGAUAAAGCAAGAAUAGGGCUAAGUGGGGAAGUUGUAGUAAAAAAUGCACUGGGGCCGCCAGGUGGCGCCAUGCUGCAAUGAGACUCCUUGUGGAAUCCUUUAAAAAGGUGAGAACAAAACAAUGUUUUAUAUAUAAAUUUACUAAUUUUUAAUUUUAAAUGUAUUUUAGGUUGUGACUUGUUAAAUUUAGCAAUGUGAGUUAAGGUUUAUAAUGUGAUAAUUUGAUAUACUUAACACAUUGUGAAGCGAUUACCACAGUCAAGGCAUAUAUCAUCGCAUUAGUUAUCUUUCUUUAUAGUGAGAACACUUAAGAUCUGCUCUAUUAAGACAUUUCAAGUUUAUAAUAUUGGAAAAUAGUUCCUCAAGAAAUUGAAAGCAGAACUACUAUAUGAUCCAGCAGUCCCACUUCUUGGUAUAUAUCCGAAGGAAAUGAAAUCAUCCUUUCAAAGAGAUACCUGCCCUCCUGUGUUCAUUGCAGCCUUAUUCACAGUAGCAGGAUAUGCAAACUAAAUGUCCAUUGAUAGAGGAAUGGAUAAAGAAAAUGUGUGUGAAUAUGUAAACAGUGUUUUCAUUUCUUUUGCAAGCUUACCUUCCUCAAAAUUCUUGCUAAAUAAUGUAGUUCCUCAAAAACAAAGAAGAGCAAAGUAGUUUCUUAACCAUCUUAACAGAUAUGUCUGCAGCCCACAGUGAAAUAUCUCAGAAGACUUUCUCACAGAGGUAAUGAAAAGGAAGCAUUUCCAGGAGUUCCCACCAUGGCGUGGUGGGAUUGGUGGCAUUUCUGGAGCGUUGGGACAUAGGUUCCAUCAAUCCCCGGCCCAGAGCAGUGAGUUAAGGAUCCAGCAUUACCUCAGCUGCGGGAUAGGUUGCAACUGCAGCUCAGAUCUGGGAAAUCCAUAUGCCAGGAGUGGCCAUAAAAAAGAAAAUAAGUUAGUUUUAAAAAAGGAAGCCUUUCCAGUUAGAAAAGAUAUAAUUUUAGACAUUCUGUUUGCGUGAUCUUCAGAGAUAAAGGUUAGUAUGGAUACACCUAUUUCCUAAUACAGUGUUUUUGCAUUUGGACAUUAGAUUUGCAAUUUUAAUGAAUGGGUCUUUUGCAGGGCUCCCGAGGGAAAUCUAGAAAACACAAAUGGCCCAACUCUGAACAGGAUUGAAAAGCAGGUAAUAUAUCUAAGAGCUAAUUAAAUGGUCUGUACUGAACAACACGCUCCAAAGACUCCUAGCAGCUGCUCAUUUGUUCUACCUGGUGUUAUUGGCCUUUUUAAAUUUGAUCAUUUUCGCGGGUAUGUAACGGUAUUGUGGUUUUAGUUUUCAUUUGCCUUAUUGUUCAUGGAGUUUGUCUCCUUUUCAUAUUUGUAUCAGCCAUUUGGUUUGCACUAAUAUGAAAUGCUUUCUGAGUCUAUUUUCUUCUUCUGGAUUAUCGAUAUUUAUAUUUUCUGGAUAUGACUCCUUCAUCUGUUAUGUCUGUGCUAGAGAUCUCUCUCACCCUUUGGCUUUCAUAGCCUUAAUGCUGUCUGUUGGCGAAAACAACUUCUUAAUUUUGAACUAGAAAAACCUAUGCUUUCCCUUUUUGGUUAGUGCUUUGUUUGUGAUCUGUUUAAGAAGUCUUUUUCUACUCCAGCGUAUUUGUGUUAUCUUUUAAAUUUUUUUUUAAUUUCGCUCUGAGGUAUGUCUGGAAUGUGUAGUGCGAGGUAGAAGUCAGGUUUUAUUCUCAUAUCUGCAGAUUGUUCCUGUACCCUUUAUUGAAAAGAUAAGUCUGUGUUCUCUUUUAUCAGCCUGUUAGUUCUUCCAUUCCCCAAUACCUCCUUGUCUUAAUUAUUCUAGAACCAUAAUACGUACUGAUAUCUGAUAAAGAAAGUUUUUUUCUGACACUGUUCUUUUUUUCAAUAAUACAUAAGCUAUUCUUGUAUCAUUGCAUUUCCAAAUGAAUUUUACAACCAGUUUAUCAACUUAUACGCACACGUGCACACACAAACAAUUGCAAUUUUGAAUGGGAUUUUCUUGAAAUUACAUACCAAUUUAAAGGAAAUUAACAUCCUCUUAAAUUUUAGUUUUCCUAUCUAUGAAGCCAGUAUAUGUCUCCAUUUAUUUAGAUUUUCUUUUGCUUUCACUGCUUUAUUAUUUUGGUUUAAGGGCUUUCCUAUUUUUCAUCUAAGAUUUAUUUUUAGGUGUUUGAUGUGGGUUUUUUGUUAUUUUUUUCUCCUGCUUUAUGGAGGUGUAUUUGACAAAUCAAAAGUAUAUAUGUUUUAGAUGUAUGUCUUAGUCCAUUUGGGCUAAUGUAACAAAAUGCCAUAGACUGGAUGGCUUAUAAACAACAAAAAUUUCUUUGUCACAGUUCUAAAGACUGCGAAGUCCAAGAUCAGGAUGCUGGCAGAAUUGGUGUCCAGUAGGAGCUUGUUUCCUGGUUCAUAGAUGGUGUCGUUGAGCUAGACUGAUGCACUUGCUGUUCGCUGCAGAGGUGACUUGGAGGCAGAAGACAGCUCUCUACGGCAGUCACCUGCUACCAAGCAGAGAAAGGAGGGAGCUAACUUCCAGGAAGAGAAAGAGCGGCCUGCAUUCAAAAAUCCAAGUUGAGAAGGUUCAUCCACAUUAUAGGAGGUGUCCCGAUUUCUUUUUGAAGAAUGAAUAAUAUUCUGUUGAAACCCAUGUGCUGACAGCACCUGAACAUGCUGCACCCUACACAGGAUCCAUGCACUUCAGCACCGUGGACGGGCCCUGGGAGCUCAUGGAACAGAGCUACUGUCUCAGGCACCGUGUGGCAAUUCUCAUGAUACAGCCAAACCUGACUGCCUUAUUCUCAGUACCUGACCAACAUGCGAAAGAGUCUCCAGCAGGAUCGGGUGAGUACGAAGUCAGUGUCGCCGGGCUAGGGCUCUCUGACAGCGCGGCUACAUACGUGUCUGUCACGGGGACUGGCCUGUGCACCACAAGUAUUUAGCAACCUCCCCAGCUUCUACCCCCACCGGAUGUCAACAGCACUUUCCUUUCUCACCCAAACUAUCUCCAGACCUUUUUCGAAUAUUCCUUGGGGAAACUAAAGUGCCCCUGAUGGGAACCACCGUCCUAUUUUAGGAGUAGACUUUCAAUUUGCAUACACAGUCUAUGAUGAUGGACAUAUUCUAUAGUUGUUUAAUAUGACAGCACAACGGAGGGACAGAAUUCUUAGUUUUAUUUACUAAAGAAAUUAAAUAUCUUCUUGAAAGAAAGGAACGACCCAACCAGGAUUGAAAAACAUUUAUUGAAUCAAAAUCAAUACUUUCUUUAUUAUCUACAAGCCAACACUGAACUCACUUUAUUUAAGAAUGAACACAAUGUACAAAAAAAGUAUGCUUAUAUUAUAAAAAUAUGUCAAUUUUAUCUCCUGGGUGCUGAGCAGAAGUCAUUUUAAACAAAAUCAAGGCUAACUUGCGCUCUAUAAUAAAACUGCUAUAAUUUAAUAACCAAAGUGAAAGCUCCUACAUCUUUCAAGGCCCCACUGCUAGAUGCUGCUGCACUGGAAAUGCUGAACCCAGUCAUCGUGGUUCCCAUUCCCGCUCUACGCUCAGCGGCACCACUCCACGCCUAACUCAGGGAAAGCACCUCGGGCAAAGGACAGAACGCAUGUCAUUGGUUAGCAGUUGUGAGCAUGUAUUUCAGCAAAGUAUUAACAGUCAAUCCUGUAUUAGCUUCAAUUUUCAAAAUGAGACACAUUGUUUGUUAUGGGAAGCAAACGGCCUCCUGAGAUUUAAAAACCCACACCUAUCAAUGUGGGGAUGAAGACUCCCUAAGAAUCUGUCUCUAGGGUUACUAUCUUAGAAUUAACGGUUGGUCGUCAUCUUAUUUUUUGAAUCACUAUUGGCACCUUCCUUGGCAUAUGGUCUUGCCUACAGUGUGGCUACUUGCACCUGUGAAGUCAGUGGUGGCUGCAGAACAGUUAGAGGCUAAAGAGUGCAGCCUUUGGCUCACCAGAGAUAGGCUCCAGUGCUCACUGGGAUAUUUGGUCCUUGGAGAAUCAGAAAAGCGAGCGAUUGGAAAAAAACAAAAUCACAUCGUGAGUUGGGGAAAAGGGACCGUGGCUCCCUGUAUCGUUCUAGGAGUUAACAAGUAUAGAAUCAAACCAGACUACACAACAUCAGCACUGACAAUGCCAAAAAAACCUGUCCCUUAAAGAACUUGCAGAAUGGGACUGCCUGUUGUGGCUCAGCGGCAACGAACCCAACCAGGGUCAGUGAGGACACAGGUCUGACCCCUGGCCUCACUCAGUGGGUUAAGGAGCCAGCCUUGCCAUGAGCUGUGGUGGAGGUCACAGGUGAGGCUUGGAUCCCACAUUGCAUGGGCUGGUGGCUGCAGAUGCAAUUCAAGCCUUAGUUUGGAAACAUCCAUAAGCCAUGGGUGCAGCCUUAAAAAGACAAAAAAAAUCAAAAACAACAGAACCCACGGACUUUCACACAGCAGUGUCCCUGGCAGGCCCCUGACUCUGUUUGGGCAGAGUGGCACGCGGGGAUAUCCCCGAAUGCAGUAGCCACACAGUGAAGUAAUGACAUCAGAUGAAUUCAAGUUUCAAAGUUAUUAACUGCACAAUGCCUACUUUGAUUACUAAGCAUACACGUUUGUCCCUGACAGAUUCUGCUGGGGAUUGACACUAUGAAGACCUGCAGAAAUAAGGACGGAGUAAUCUAGUCCCCCCGGUACAGGUAAAUUCCAAAGAACUGGGGGGGGGGGGGUGCUUUCAUAUUUUGCCUAUAUAAACCUAAUAUUUAUUCAGUUAUCUCUUAAACAAGAACUCCUAAGGUGAAGAGAAAGGGAUUGAAGAAGAGAAAAUGAUCCCUCUUUAUGCAACUACCUAAUUACAGCUUUCUAGGUCAGUUUUCCAUGAGGCCCAGGUCCUGCAUGAAGUACGAGUCUGACCAGAUAUAACUGUUAGGGCUGAAAUGGACAUAGGAUUUACCGUUUUCAUGAAAAAACAUACUACUAACUGGCUUAGCACUACACCCUCAUGUGGAAGGAAAAGCAUCUACAGAAGGACAAUUGGUGAAAUAAUCAUUUUGGAACCUGAGCCAAAGGUUUCUCACCAACACCUGAAGUCACCGAAUAGGCAACAACACAGCCAGGUCAACUGUAGCUCUUGGCAACUUCCAUUACGAAGAGGCCCAAUGACUCUGGAGUCCACAGUUUGGAGUCCAGGCCAGAAGUUCAACAAACUGCUACUGGAAACAACUGGAUACCAUAAUACUAAACAUAAACAAGUGAAAACGAAAUGAGUACACCAAGAAAUGAGCCACUUCUAAGACCGUGAUGCUCAGAGUCCGAUCGGAUGAGGGUAUUACACACACUCAGAUA